CAUUGAGGGCGAUUAUCCCUGAGAUAUGAGAUAUUAGCGUUCAAGUGCAAGGAAUAUCUCUAAGCUUCUAUACAUGAUUUCCUGUAAGUUGACAUUUCCUGCACUUAAACAGAAUAUCUCUACUCUUCAUAACUUAAGGCAGACCGACAUUUCUUCCAACUUCACUUCAAUAG